AUUGAACGCUGGCGGCAGGCCUAACACAUGCAAGUCGAGCGCUUCUAGCUUGCUAGAGGAGCGGCGAACGGGUGAGUAACACGUGGGAAUCUGCCCAAUAGUGGGGGACAACGUUCCGAA
rnacentral:rRNA from 1 species